rnacentral:lncRNA from 1 species
CUUAAAAUAUGUAGGAAAUUAUAUAUUAAUGCUUCUAAAAGGAUACAAAAACAUUUAUGAAAUGUAAUUUUAUUGCUCAGAUUUCAUGAGGAAAGUUCAACAAUAGUCCAACAGACAAAAAGAUUCAUGUGAAGAACUGGAUACGAAGUGCUUAAGUGUUGACAAUAUUGGUCUCUUGAAAUGUAGUCAUUGGCUUAUGAAUAAAAUUCCAUAUGUGAGAUUUGGAUGAAUUUGAGAAAGUAUUUGGUGAAUGAUGGAACCUGUGACUGAUUAGAUAUCUAAAUGAUUAAUUGCUGAUAAUUCAAAUCAUUUAUUAACUGAGAAUAAUUUACUUGAUGUCACUUUUUAAGCAUUACCAAAAACGCAGGUUUUUAGUUUAUUUUUUUUUAUUUUUUGCAUUUUAACCCUAUAAUGAAUUGACUAAAUCAUUUAAAAAUCUUUACUAGGUACAUAUUACACUAGAUACUGUUUUAGCCAGGAAAAAAAAUAGUAUUGAACAGAAUGGAUACAUUUCCUGUCCUCAUAAACUUACAGUCAGGAGACUACCUUAGCCAACAUGAACAAAGGUUUUAGAUAUUCUUGGCUAUGCAAUCAAUUUUACCAUUCUCCAUCCUUUUAGAGCUCACUGAUCCUUGCCUAGGAAUAUGUCUCAAAUUUGUUAAUUCUCCUAUAUUAAUGCACACUAUGAUAAAUCAAAUGUUUUCUACCUAACCUUAGAGCAAGUUUUACUCUUAAUGCUACUAGAGGAAGUGAAAUAACUUUUUUAAAAAAAUUCAUUUUUUUUACAUUUCAAAUUUACAGAAGGCCAUGUAGGAGGGAGUUUCACUUUCAAAGCUGUUGUAGCCCUAAUGUGAAUGGGAUUUAAAUGGUGAAAGCAGAGAAUAUACCCCCCAAUUCUGACCACUGUUUGUGCUUUCCCACAUCCAUUACUGCCUUCUUUGUUGGUGGAGAUGAGAGUGAGACAGCCUCUCCUCUAUCAUGCUAGGUUUAGAUACUUUUAGGAAUCUGAUUUUAUUACAAGGCAUAUAAUUCUAACAGAUAUCUAAAAAUAUAUUGCUAUUGAAGUGGUAUCUCAAAGCAUAAUUUCAUUUUUUUUAAUUGUGGUAAAAUACAUGUAGCAAAAAGUUUGCCAUUUUCAGUGUACCAUUCAGUGCCACUAAGUCCACUGUGAUAGUAGCACACCUUGUUGUGCUACUAUCACAAAGGAUUUCUUUUUAAAUUAAGGAAGAACUUCUUUUUGACAAUUGAGUUUCAAGCAGGGCCUCAAGUUCAAGUUAUUGGUCCACUUGAAUGGACAAUCCAUGUCAUGCUUGCUCAUCUGAAGUUUUUCAUAAUCAUUGAAAAUUUUGGUUAUUUGUAGCUUGGUUAUAUUCAAACAUAUAACCAAAGUAUAACUUCUUAUCAUUUUUUCCAUAUUUUAUGGCAAUUUCUGCAACACAGACAUGUUUUCCAGGUAAGCAGUUAUCCAUUUUCUGGGAAUCCACGGGCUGGAAAACACUCAUUUUAGUGAACAUAUCAUUGUCACAGCUCAUUACUUAUAGUAUUUCUGAACAUACUGGAAAAGCAUGAUGCAACAAACAACUCACUGUGCCCUAGGAAAUAGCAGUUGAACUUGGAAUCAUAUUUUGAACAACACUCAGGGAUUGCUAAGAUUUUACUGUUUUCCUAAAUGCCUGUUUCCAGGACUAUACUCUGGCCUGCAACAGUCACAAGACUGAGAUUAUGAUGUAGAGGAUUUCCUUGGGGAAUGGAGCAGUGUUUCCUGAAGAGUAUUUGAUGGAAUUCCAAAUUGGUAGCAUUUAAUAAAAGGGAAAAAGAAAAAAGGAACAAUCUGGUUGGUUCUUAUAGACCACACCAGCACCUACAACUGAGGAAAUGCUCUUUAAACAGAGCUAAAUAAUAUAUUUUAGUGCGGUAACUGUUGGGAACUCAAGUGCAUUAUUGUGAUCUGUGAAUUUCCAAUAAGAAGAUUCCAAAUUUUUCAACCAGAAAUUCCUUUUUUGAGUAAUAUUUUGGAAACCUAGAGUCCCAAGUAAUAUUUUUAGUCAAAAAUAAGGUUAAAUGUUAAGUGAAGCCCAGAAACAUCCUUGAUCCAGACACCCCAACCACACAUUUUUAUGGUGUUUCCAGUAAAUUCCUGAGACAUCUCUUUAAGUAAAACCUGUCUAGUUUUCCAGGGAUCCCCUAUAAGCCAGUAAAUAUUUCUCAAAAUGGAGCUUUGGAAAUACAAAGCAGAAUGUUGAUGAAGGCUUUUAAGAAAAUCUUCCUCUCUUACUUGUCUGAUUAAUAUGAAAAAUUGAAUAAGUACUUUUUGAAACACUAAGGACUGUUAUGAAGAUGUGAAAUGUGUUGUAUUUAUAUGGAAUAUUCUAAAAUUAUACAGGAAUAGGUGUUAGAAAAAGUUGUUAGAAAAUAAAAGACCAAACUUUUGCUAACAUCUGGGCAUUUUAUAGCAGUUUCACAUACCAUAUUUUUAAUAACCUGUAAUGAUUAUUUAAAUGCAUUAAAAACUCCAAAGAAACAAUGUUUAAAAUAUCUCACUAGAAUGAUUAUAAUUAUAAUCACUGAAUGGUUACAUAAAUUGUUAUCAUAUCAUGAUUGAAGUAUAUGGAUUCUGUGUAUCAUUGGCUCAUGAACUUCUUACAGCUCACUAAAUAAAAUAUUUAACAUAAAUUAUCCCUUACACCCCAACCAAACACACAUACGGAGCACAAUUUAUGUUGUUCUCUGAAGGGAGUUAUAUUUACCAUGAUAUAUGUAAGACAUCUCAAAAUAAAAAAUAAAAGAACUGGGGAUGUAGCUCAGAGGUAAAGAGAUUCUGGGUUCAAUACUUACCCCCCCAAAAAAAAAGGAAAGAAAGAAAAAUGCAAUUUAUUUUAGAUAAACGUACACAUUUUUAUUCACAAAAUCUGAUUUAAAGAUACCUCUAGUUCUACAUGGUUUUUAUAGACAUCCACUUGAAUUUAAAAAUUAAUAAAUUAAUAAAUAAACCUAAUCUAAAUUUGUGCAUGACCAGGCUAUAAUGCAGCCUGAAUUCAUAAUUUGGGAUACUUCAUCUUUGAUUUUUGCUAUACUAUGUUAUUUAGCCCAACAAAACAGAGAAUCAUUUCUUAUAGAGCAGAGAACCCUGAAUGCUUGCAAUGACAGAAGUGCAGAAAAGGAGAGACCUAAGGUGUCUCCAGUUCUUAUGUUUAACAGUCCAGGAAAGCAAAGCAAAGAGAUCAAGUCCUACAAUGAACAAGUUAUAAAACCAAGACUUUCUAAGUCUUAUCUCUGCUCUCUUGAUUUCUCUCAUCUUGUGACAUUUGAUCUGUCCCUUCUCUCUGACAUGUGAAAAAUUAUUUUGGCAAGGAGAGUCAGUGAGCUUUACUUUACUAAAAUCCUUCUGAAUUUCAAGCUUGUGAUGUCGACACUUAUUAGAUAUUCACUCUACAUCUGAGAGGAACAGUUAAAUAUAGAUAUAAAGAAUUCAAGCCAAUGAGAGGAUAGUGGUCUGUAAUGAUUUCAUUGUCUUCCAAGAAAAGUAAUUUUACAUUUAAUAUUUUUAGAUCUUCUUUAAAAUAUAUUAUUCAAACUCUAUAUUUUCUGUUUAAAAAUACUUUUUUCCAGCAUAUUUUAACAAUAUCUUCAUUUGUCUCAACUUGAUAGUUCCUGUAAUGAAUGAUAAACACAAUUCCCCCAUAAAGAUGUUAUAUAAGCAUGAAUUCCUCCUUUAUGUUGAUUAUAUAAGGGCUAAAGAAACCUGUGAGAAGCAUUAGUGGUUAAUACCCCUUUGCAACUAUAAGGAAAAGUUGCAUUAAGUUUAUCAUCUUAUCAUUAGAGUGAGAGCACUUGUGAUGGACACCCCAGAAAGUAUCAGUGAACCUAUUCCUCAGGGAGGUGACUAUCCAUGUAUGUUGCCUCAUAGUUUCCUUACUCAACAGAGAUAUAAUCAAAGAAAUUUAGAAUAAUUACAUAGAAAUGGAUAAUCCAGAUGUGUGUGCCCUUCUAAAGUGGUGAUAUGUUAGAGUCUGUAAACAAGGCUGGAUGGCACCUGGCAUUUUGCCAGAGGGAGUGGUUUGUGAAGUAACGCCAGUGAGCCAUUAAGUGUGGAGAUUCCUUAUUGGUUGACUGCUGUAUCUAGUUUAUGUUAAUUAGAUAAGCUGUGUGAAAUGUAUAUAUAUAUAUAUAUAUAUAUAUAUAUAUAUAUAUAUAUGCCUCCUGUUCUACAAUAAACGGUUUCCACUCCUGCUGUAUCAAUGUAUACAAGUUCUUCGUCACCCCCGGUUAUUUUGCUGCAGCCGGACUGCAGCAGUGAUUCUCAAACAUGAUGAGGAGUCAGCACCUCUGAAUAUCAUGGUACUCAAAGAGGAAUGUGAAUUAUUGAAAUAUUUAAUCAUAUAUGAGCUGGAAAUGACACUACAUAGAGAAACUAUAUGUUUUACAUGUAGUAAAAAAUCUGAAACAUGAAUACAUAUGAUGAUGGAAAUUUAGUAAAUCAUCAGUCAGGCAGUUAACUUUCUGAGAAAUUCCAUCAAAAUAUUUUACCAUAUUUGUAUAGUCACAAUUAUUGGUUACUGGUUUUUUUUUAAGUUUUAUUGGUGAAAAUAUUAAAUAUUG